AACGCGAAGAACCUUACCUACCCUUGACAUGGGGAACCGCUGAGAGGUGGGAGUGCGAAAGAGAACCGGCGCACAGGUGCUGCAUGGCUGGAGCGUGGUGAGAUGUUGGGUUAAGCCGCAACGAGCGCAACCCUUGCUUAGUUGCUACGCAAGAGCACUAAGGAGACUGCCGGUGACAAACCGGAGGAAGGUGGGGAUGACGAAGCAUGGCCCUUAUGGGUAGGGCUACACGAUACGAUGGGGAACAGAGGGUUGCCAACCCGCGAGGGGGAGCUAACCAGAAAACCGAGUAGCGGAUUGCACUGCAACGAGUGCAUGAAGCUGGAAGCUAGUAAGCGGAAGCAUGCCGCGGUGAAUACGUCCGGGUAACGCGAAGAACCUUAC
rnacentral:rRNA from 1 species